UUGAUGUAGUAUUGUAAUAUCUUUCAGCAAACCACAAGAACCAGAAGAACCAUCCAAUGGAGUUGAGCCCUUACCCAAGAAGUUUAUUCGUUGUUCAACUCAUGUCACAAUAGGAUUAUUACAGAGAUUUAUUGCCACAAAAUUAAACCUGGAAUCAGAAAGUAUGAUAGGAAUAUCACACAAUGAAACAGAGAUGGACAAGGAUUUCACCUUGAAAUACAUCAGCGAUAACUUACUAGAGGAAAAGGUAAGCACACUGCUGAUCUCACUAACUAACAGAUUGAAUUGGAAUUUAGCUUGUUAGAUUUUGAGGAAGA